UUCGGUGGCUAUAGCGCAGAGGCUACACCUGUUCCCAUCCCGAACACAGAAGUUAAGCUCUGUUGCGCCAAUGAUACUGCAUGGGAGACUAUGUGGGAAAGGCCGCCGAAU
rnacentral:rRNA from 1 species